CGCCAUAUAUGUUCCUGCUACUGAAUAUUUCAUAAGAUCAAUUAAUGGAGGUAGAAUGUAGGUUUGCUUUGUUUAUGUAUAGCUAGAUGUUCUUCUAGAAGUACCAAAAUGAAACUGGAGAGAAGGGGGUGGGGUGGGGGGAAUGGAUAUUGCUUCGCAUCUUUAUACGCAUUUAAACAAUAUUAAUACAACUAAGCUGCUAACAAGAAAAGUUAUAAUAGAAGCCAGUCUCACGUUAAUCAGAUAUCAUAACUAUAUCAUAACUAUCUAAACUAAGCCACCACUUUCAAUUAAAAAAAAAUUAAACAAAGAGUCCAUUAAAACUGGGGUAAACAAGAAAAAUCGAAGAUGAUCUACAAACCAACCAACAACUCGACAAUUCAUGAAAUAAGGAGGAAAGGGAGAUCCCUACAUGAAGGUCAACGUAUAGUCAGUUUCAUUUAAUUAGAUGUUUCAAGUCAUGGUACUAUUUGAACCAAGAUUACAAGCAAGCAUCUGGGAGAGAUGUUGUUCUUGGACUCAUCAUCAGGAUGCCUUCAGGUGAUGAAUGCUAAUCUCACUCGCAUAAAUUGUCAUUAAUUUUAAGGAUCUGAAAUAUUGAGCAGUUAGUUGAAACUAUCAGCUGAAAGAUCGCGAUCACCCUAAUGGAAGUUCAAGUUCAGAAAUGAGAACAAAGUUAAAUACCUGCCAUAACAAAAUCAUCGAAGCACAAGUUCUCUACUAGGAUUUUUUUAUGAAUUGUACUAUGAGGUCCCUUAGGUUUCUUCCUCCCUUUUGGAGUGAGAAAUUAGCAUCUUAAGGCAUUCUCGUGCUCUUUAAUAUUGAUUUAAGUUCUAUAUUAAAGGGUUAUGUCGUGCUGAGUUGCAUGUCCAGUGCACAUGAAGAUGGAGUUGAAGGAUAACUUGGGGGUGGAGACGCCAUCCCCCAGAAUUCCCAUUAUCGUAGUAGAUAGGAAGUUAUCGUCCUGGGAGAGGUGUCAGUCCCAGCAACUUGAGAUAGCAGCUGCAUCAGAAUAUUUUCACGAUAGCAGCAAAACCUUAAACAUGAUAACUGAAAGAUAAAUAUGUAAGAAUUAAAAGUACUUUGCCAAACAUCAGCUAUGAUAAUUUAAAAGAACAAGCCCAAAGUCAAAGAAGAAGAGAAAGAACUUGGAAGCAAAGAAGUUAAAGAACAACCAAGCCAUAAGCAUAAAACUAAAUAACAGCCAAACCAGAGGAACUAAUGGUAGGUCCCUGAAGCUUUUGCUCCAGCAUUCGAUCGAAGCCUUUCUCAAUAUACUCUGGAAUGAAAUACAUACAACAUCAGUGCAGUCAAAAUCAUUCAAGUACUAAUUAAAGUGGAUUCAGCAAGGGGCCGAAGGUGAUGACAGAAGCAUAGAGAGCACAAAGGAGUGAGAUGCAAAGUGCGCAUGCCAUCAUCUGUGCUCUCUAUCUUCUGUCAACAGCAUCACCGGAUGGCUCCUUUCCCCUCUUGCUGACAACAAGAGCAGCAGGAUGAUUGCAGAAUAGAGAAAACAGAUGAACAAAUGGAAUUGGACUAGAAAGAAAAUAUGUAUACAAAAAAGAGUCUUGAAGCCUACAAGUACCAAAAGGAGUCUUCCACACCCUCCCAUUUAUAGAAGGGUGUGAGGUAGAACGGUGACUCAAGUGCAAAGGGAGUAUAUUUCUCCUGGUUUUGCCCCGAUUCCAUGCACCAUGAUUAGCUGAUGGUGCAU
rnacentral:lncRNA from 1 species